AUUGAACGCUGGCGGCAGGCCUAACACAUGCAAGUCGAACGAGUGGCGGAGGGGUGAGUAAUGUCUGGGAAACUGCCCGAUGGGGGGGGAUAACUACUGGAAACGGUAGCUAAUACCGCAAACCAUCGGAUGUGCCCAGAUGGGAUUAGCUAGUAGGUGGGGUAACGGCUCACCUAGGCGACGCUCCCUAGCUGGUCUGAGAGGAUGACCGGCAAAACUGGAACUGGGAAACGGUCCAGACUCCUAGGGGAGGAAGCAGGGGGGAAUAUUGCACAAUGGGGGCAAGCCUGAUGAAGCCAUGCGGCGGGGAGGAAGAAGGCCUUCGGGUGGGAAAGUACUUUCAGCGAGGAGGCGGUACUCGCAGAAGAAGCACCGGCUAACUCCGUGCCAGCCGCCGCGGUAAUAC
rnacentral:rRNA from 1 species